AUAAGAAGAAAGUAAGAAAGGGCGUAUGGUGGAUGCCUAGGCUCACAGAGGCGAUGAAGGACGUGAUAAGCUGCGAUAAGCUUCGGGUAGGUGCAAAUAACCCUUGAUCCGAAGAUUUCCGAAUGGGACAACCCGGCCGUCUGAAGGACGGUCACUCACGCUAAGCGUGAGAGCUAACGCAGGGAACUGAAACAUCUUAGUACCUGCAGGAAGAGAAAAUAAAUAAUGAUUCCCUUAGUAGUGGCGAGCGAACGGGGAACAGCCCAAACCGUGACUGUGGCAACGCAGCUGCGGGGUAGUAGGACCGCGACAUUGUAUGCAUGCAGUGAGCAGAAUCUUCUGGAAAGAAGAACCGCAGAUGGUGAAAGUCCAGUAUGCGAAGCUAAUUGCAACAUAGCGGUAUCCUGAGUAACGCGGAACACGAGGAAUUCUGCGCGAAUCCGCCGGGACCAUCCGGUAAGGCUAAAUACUCCUGUGAGACCGAUAGUGAACCAGUACCGUGAGGGAAAGGUGAAAAGCACUUCGAUAAGAAGAGUGAAAUAGUUCCUGAAACCAUACGCCUACAAGCGGUCGGAGCUGCUUCGUGCAGUGACGGCGUGCCUUUUGCAUAAUGAACCUACGAGUUACCAUCACCAGCAAGGUUAAGGGCCAUUAGUCCCCAAGCCGCAGUGAAAGCGAGCCUGAAUAGGGCGUAUAGUUGGUGGGGGUAGACGCGAAACCAAGUGAUCUACCCUUGUCCAGGUUGAAGGUUGGGUAAAACCAACUGGAGGACCGCACCGGUAAGCGUUGAAAAGCUUUCGGAUGAACUGAGGGUAGGGGUGAAAGGCUAAUCAAACUUGGAGAUAGCUCGUACUCCCCGAAAUGCAUUUAGGUGCAGCCUGUGGAGUUUCUUACGUGAGGUAGAGCGACUGAUUGGAUGCGAGGCUUUCACCGGCUAUCAAGUCCAGACAAACUCCGAAUGCACGUUAAGUAAGAUCCACGGAGUGAGGGCAUGGGUGCUAAGGUCCAUGUCCGAGAGGAGAAGAAUCCAGACCAUCGGCUAAGGUCCCGAAAUAAUAGCUAAGUUGACCAAACGAAGUCAGAGUGCGAAGACAGCUAGGAUGUUGGCUUGGAAGCAGCCAUUCAUUUAAAGAGUGCGUAACAGCUCACUAGUCGAGUGCUUUGGCGUGGAUAAUAAUCGGGCAUAAGCUAUUUACCGAAGCUGUGGGAUGUGUAAACAUCGGUAGGGGAGCAUUCUAGCGGCGCUGAAGGUGAGAGGACAACUCUUGCUGGAGCUUCUAGAAAAGCAAAUGUAGGUAUAAGUAACGAUAAAGGAGGUGAGAAACCUCCUCGCCGAAAGACUAAGGGUUCCUGAUCAACGCUAAUCGGAUCAGGGUUAGUCGGGGCCUAAGGGGAAGCCGAACGGCGCACCCGAUGGAAGAACCGGUUAAUAUUCCGGUACUAAUUA
rnacentral:rRNA from 1 species